UACGUAGGGGGCUAGCGUUGUCCGGAAUCAUUGGGCGUAAAGCGCGCGUAGGCGGCCAGAUAAGUCCGGUGUGAAAGUCACAGGCUCAACCUGUGAAUGCCGCUGGAAACUGUCUGGCUAGAGUCCGGGAGGGGCGAGUGGAAUUCCUGGUGUAGCGGUGAAAUGCGCAGAUAUCAGGAGGAAUACCAAUAGCGAAGGCAGCUCGCUGGGACGUUACUGACGCUGAGGAGCGAAAGCGUGGGGAGCGAACAGG
rnacentral:rRNA from 1 species